rnacentral:lncRNA from 1 species
GGGACUCUUCUAUCUUUCUCGUCCUCCAAUAACCAAGAAUUCCGUUUGUUCAUUUGUAUCUCCAGCAUCAGCCCCACUCAAAGAUCACAGGAGCAACAGUGAUACUACCUCAGGAAAAACAUAAAGGCCAUUGGUCUCAAGUGGAAGUCAUCUCCGAUCUGAAGGGAAGAGACAAAAAGAAUGUUGUCUCUGCACAUCACUGUGAUGCCAACUGGUUAGGAUUUACUCUGUUACAGAUCUUUGCCUCUAGCAAAUACAACUCCUGUUAAAUUAUUUCCAGUUAUCCUUCAAAAUCAGAGCUAUGAUAGCCACCAUCUGUAAUUCAAAAAAUUCCUCUCACUCCUCUAUCAUCCCUCCUGAAGUUCCUGCCUUUGCCAUCUCCUACUGAUUGAUAAAACAUUCUAACUACAUAGCAAAAUCUGAAAGACAUUUACUGGCGAAGAUUUUGAGAACUGCAUCCCAUAUAUACUUUGAAGAUGAUCUAGUGAGUGAUAAGAACAUAUACAGAGGAAAAAUCAGGAGGAGGAAAGUUCGUGUGACAGAGAAGCACUUGCAUUUCCAUGAUGCUGGAUGCCUGAGCUGAUGGGAAGUGGCUCUCAGAUAAUAAACUGGAUAGAUUACCUGCCUGUCAUAUCAAAAGCUUUUAGUUUUAUUGUAAAGAUAAGGGAACAAUGAAGGUUUUUCUCUGUGAUGGAGUUAAAUUAAGUUAUUCUGAGGAUUUUUAAGUUGCAAAAUGUCAAAUAAAAGAAAUGCGGAAUUAGGUAAGGAGAGGCAGUACUCAAAUUGAAUAUGGCAAGAGGAGAGAAAGGACUUGCAAAAGGGGUGGGGGAAGGACUAUGGAAAAAGGAAG